UACGUAGGGUGCAAGCGUUGUCCGGAAUUAUUGGGCGUAAAGAGCUCGUAGGCGGUCUGUCGCGUCGGCUGUGAAAACUUGGGGCUCAACCCCAAGCCUGCAGUCGAUACGGGCAGACUAGAGUGUGGUAGGGGAGACUGGAAUUCCUGGUGUAGCGGUGAAAUGCGCAGAUAUCAGGAGGAACACCGGUGGCGAAGGCGGGUCUCUGGGCCGAUACUGACGCUGAGGAGCGAAAGCGUGGGGAGCGAACAGG
rnacentral:rRNA from 1 species